ACAUGCUAAUCAAGUUGUAAUGGGCCGUUUGGAGGGUGAUCACCACGAUCAUGUGCAUCUCAGAGUCUGUUGUUGCAAAAUGUUACCAUUGUUGUCAUGAACACAUACCAGUGUACUGGGUUGCUCUAAUCUCAUUUGCAGUGCAGCAGACCUCCUAAGUUCUCUGCGUCUGCCAGGCUUGUUAUGAGCCAACCAUAACCCUUAUUGUAAUCAGCAUUGUGCAACUCAGCAUUGAGUUGUCAUCUGAUAAUAUAUUGACUGCCGUUGCAAAUUGAAUAGCUUGACCCCCAACGCUCCGAGAUAUCUUUAUCUUUCACGCUUUUUAUCUCACUCUUUUCUUCUCUGCCUCUCUCUCUCUCUCUCUCUCUCUCUCUCUCUGUGUUUUCCCCGCUCUUUUUCUCAGCGUGAUUGGAGUCUUGUGACUAACGUGUGGUAUCUAAUUUGAUUGUUUUUUCCCAGGAUCUGAGGCAGAGAAGUCUUGGUGACCUCAGCGUUUUUCUCCAGGAACAGCAGCACUGGUCUCGUGAGGACUGAACUUGAGAUGCCAGAGCACACGGAGAUGUUCUCUGAUCCGCCUUAUCGCUCUAAUUUGCAACAUGACACCCCCAGUGACGAUUCUCGUGAACUCAAGUUAUAAAUUAUGGCGGUGUGGCCAAUGGAUCCGAUACGAGACGGCCUCAUGCGUGGCCCCAAAAGAGUAAACAAGGCAUGCUGGGAGUUGAGGGAGAAGCGAAAGGAAGCUUACAAUGAUGCCGG